rnacentral:rRNA from 1 species
UACGUAGGGUCCGAGCGUUGUCCGGAAUUACUGGGCGUAAAGAGCUCGUAGGUGGUUUGUCGCGUUGUUCGUGAAAACUCACAACUCAAUUGUGGGCGUGCGGGCGAUACGGGCAGACUUGAGUACUGCAGGGGAGACUGGAAUUCCUGGUGUAGCGGUGGAAUGCGCAGAUAUCAGGAGGAACACCGGUGGCGAAGGCGGGUCUCUGGGCAGUAACUGACGCUGAGGAGCGAAAGCGUGGGGAGCGAGCAGG